rnacentral:rRNA from 1 species
UACGUAGGGUGCAAGCGUUAAUCGGAAUUACUGGGCGUAAAGCGUGCGCAGGCGGUUUUGUAAGUCAGAUGUGAAAUCCCCGGGCUCAACCUGGGAAUGGCAAUGGAUACUGGCGAGCUAGAGUGUGAUAGAGGAUGGUGGAAUUCCCGGUGUAGCGGUGAAAUGCGUAGAGAUCGGGAGGAACAUCAGUGGCGAAGGCGGCCAUCUGGAUCAACACUGACGCUGAAGCACGAAAGCGUGGGGAGCAAACAGG